CAGCAGCCGCGGGAAUACGAAGGGGGCUAGCGUUGCUCGGUAUGACUGGGCGUAAAGGGCGCGUAGGCGGUUUGUACAGUCAGAUGUGAAAUUCCUGGGCUCAACCUGGGGGCUGCAUUUGAUACGUGCGAGCUAGAGUGGGGAAGAGGGUCGUGGAAUUCCCAGUGUAGAGGUGAAAUUCGUAGAUAUUGGGAAGAACACCGGUGGCGAAGGCGGCGACCUGGUCCUUGACUGACGCUGAGGCGCGAAAGCGUGGGGAGCAAACAGGAUUAGAUACCCCUGUAGUCCCUGUCUCUUAUAC
rnacentral:rRNA from 1 species